AUGUUGAUACAUUCAUUGUCUUUCUUACCAUUUUUUUUGUUUUCUUCAUACUGUCUAUCUUCUUUAUCGUUAUUAUCCUCAGUGAUUUUUUCAAUUUGUUCAUUUGUAGUAUCCUCUGUGAUCUUUUCAAUUUGUUCAUUUAUAGUAUCCUCUGUAGCUUUUUCAGUUUGUUCAUUUAUAGUAUCCUCUGUGACCUUUUCAAUUUGUUCAUUUAUAGUAUCCUCUGUGUCUCUUUCAAUUUGUUCAUUUAUAGUAUCCUCUGUAGCUUUUUCAAUUUGUUCAUUUAUAGUAUCCUCUGUAACUUUUUCAAUUUGUUCAUUUAUAGUAUCCUCUGUGACCUUUUCAUUUUUUUCAUUUGGAUUAUAUUCAUCAUAUUGGUUAUCCUCUUCGGACUGCAUGUUUUUACUUUCUACCAUAUCAAUAUCCUUAUUUGUGUUAACAUUUUUUAUAUUUUUAUUAAUUUCUAAUUCUCUACUUCUAGAUCUUCGGGUCAUUAUUCUUCGUCCUGGAAUGGAAUUAUUAAUAAUUUUAUCAUCGUGGUCAUUUUUAUUUACAUUGUUUUUUUGUAUAUUUGUAACUUCUAAGUUAGAUUGUUCACUAUCGAUGACUUUUUCAUUUUGCGUUUUUAUAUUGUACAAACGGAUACUGUAUUUUCUUUUUACAUGUAAAUUUGAUAAGAUGCUAUAUGUUUUUUUCUCUUUUUUUGUUUUUUUUUGUCAUUAUUAAUCAAUUGUUUAUCAGUAGUUUCGUCUGUUAAUGUUGCAUCAGGAUGUGCAGUUGCAACUGUGCUUUGACUUUUUACAGUAUCUUUUAUUUGUAUUUCAUAUGAUUUAUCAUUUUUCACAUUACUAUCCUUUGUAUCAUCACCUAUCACAUUAUCAGCAAAUGUUACAGUAUCUCUUCUACUUCCACCUCUUCUACUUCCACCUCUUCUACUUCCACCUCUUCUACUUCCACCUCUUCUACUUACACUUCUUCUACUUACACCUUUUCUACUUACACCUCUUCUACUUACACCUCUUCUACUUACACCUCUUCUACUUACACCUUCCGUUUUAUCACCUUUCGUAUUAUUAUAUUUUGUGUUUUCAACUGUCGCAAGUCUAUUUCUCGUACUCACACUUAUCUUAUUUUCACUAUUUGUAUCACCACCUAUAACAUUAUCAGCAAAUGUUACACUAUCUCUUCUAUUCCCGCAUCUUCUACUUCCACCUCUUGUAUUAC
rnacentral:lncRNA from 1 species